GUGGAGGAUGGACUCGCGGCCUAUCAGCUUGUUGGUGAGGUAAUGGCUUACCAAGGCGACGACGGGUAGCCGGCCUGAGAGGGCGAUCGGCCACACUGGGACUGAGACACGGCCCAGACUCCUACGGGAGGCAGCAGUGGGGAAUAUUGCACAAUGGGCGAAAGCCUGAUGCAGCGACGCCGCGUGAGGGAUGAAGGCCUUCGGGUUGUAAACCUCUUUCAGCAGGGAAGAAGCGACUGGGUUUUCUCAGACGUGACGGUACCUGCAGAAGAAGCACCGGCUAACUACGUGCCAGCAGCCGCGGUAAUACGUAGGGUGCAAGCGUUGUCCGGAAUUAUUGGGCGUAAAGAGCUUGUAGGCGGUUUGUCGCGUCUGCUGUGAAAUUUCGGGGCUCAACCCCGAACUUGCAGUGGGUACGGGCAGACUAGAGUGUGGUAGGGGAGACUGGAAUUCCUGGUGUAGCGGUGAAAUGCGCAGAUAUCAGGGGGAACACCGAUGGCGAAGGCAGGUCUCUGGGCCACUACUGACGCUGAGAAGCGAAAGCAUGGGGAGCGAACAGGAUUAGAUACCCUGGUAGUCCAUGCCGUAAACGUUGGGAACUAGGUGUGGGUCUCAUUCCACGAGAUCCGUGCCGCAGCUAACGCAUUAAGUUCCCCGCCUGGGGAGUACGGCCGCAAGGCUAAAACUCAAAGGAAUUGACGG
rnacentral:rRNA from 1 species